GGCGGAUUAUUUCGAAGAAGAGAUGAACUAUGGGUCUCUGAAGAGCGGUGGGUGGCGGUACCUAUAGAUAAAUCGCAAAUAAAGCAGCUACGUGAGAAGAUUUCUCUCGACGGAAUGAUUUAUGCAUGAAAAUGGGGUGCAACUCGCCGUCGGGGGAUUCAAUGAGAGGCCAUGGAAGUUUUAGCCGAAUCGCGCCGCUCGCGCUUAGAGCCAAUCAACUACCAAUUUAAUCCAAUAAACUAUUUAUAGCUUCGCUGGUAUUGAGUUAACUACGGUAUCGCUUCCGUUGAAUGCAAUAAUUACUCCCAUAUUUUACGUUGUACGCAGGUAUAUUUUUAGAACGAUCCCCUUCCGGGAAAUCACCGAUCGUCUUCGAUACUUCGAGAUCGCAAGGUGCCUCAAAAUUCAAUUUCAAACGUGUAAAAUGUUUUCAGUCGAAGAGUGAAAUUGAAAUAAAUGGAUCAUGUAAAAAUCGUACGUUGCACUGCAAACAUUUCGAUCAUAUCAUACAAAAGAUAAAGUCAUUAAUUUAUUGUGCAGCCUGAAAAAGUAAAAAAAAGUUCAGAGAAAAUCGCCUAUCUUAUUCAGACAGUAUUUUUGUGGAUUAAUUUUCUCUGUCAUCAAUUGAAUACUUUGGUUAUGCCUCUCUGACAUUUUCCCUGCGAUAUUGCGUUCCCAUGGAAUGUCGAUUUAACGACCAAUUGGAAAAUCAAAAAAAGGGCUCGAUCAGAAAGAAGCACGUAGUAAUUAUGUAUCUUCUUGUAAAUUAAACUUCAAUUUCUGUUCGAAAGGUCUGCAUAUUUAUCUUUUAGUUAAAAUAUACAGUUUGAAAAGUUAGCAUAACUUACAUUAGAAGUAUGGGAUGGUAUGGGUAUAGGUACGAUCGUAACCGUAGCCGGUGGAUCGAUGCGCAAUUUUCUUGCCCAUGGGAAAUUUUUGUCGCAAUAACAGGUGGCUCUGGUGUAAUUUUCAGAAUGGCUCACGCGCCUUAAUGUUGGAUGGAAAAAAAAAGUUUCAUCAGCCUGAAAAAAAUCUAGUACGUUCUAGACACACGUAUGCAAAGAGUUUUCGAAUGCGCGGUGCAGCCGGCGUUCGCAUUUUAAUUUUCAACCCCGUAUAUAAGACGAACCGCAGUUUUGAAUUACAGAGGUUGCUGCUUAUCGAAAAAAACUGGAAAAGCGAGAAUUUAACAGAGAACAAUGUGUCUCCGACGAAGAACACUUUCAAGUCUCCCUCAUCCCUUGGAAGCUUCUCGACCUCCGUACUCCAUUUUAUGCGACGGAGGAAGCGAGUGUAGAAUCUACGCAUAACGACAUCAGAGAAACUACCCUCUGAUAAGACUAGUUCUCAGAAUGUUCUACACCACACGAAUUCCUCCCCGACAGCUACGGCUUCAAAGAGCGCGGUACGUCACUAACAAAUUAAGCUUAUCGUAUCGAGAGAGGGGAAUGAUGAGAUGCGAAUUCGAAAUUGAAAUAAUAUCGUCUUCAAAAGCACAGCUUUAGGUUCGUACGUACCGUUUAAAGUUGGGUGAAUCACGCAUACCCUCUACGGCGGCUGCAGCGUGUUUGCGAAGUUCGUCUGCAGUGCCGUUACACUUGUUAAUUUUAAUAACGACAAUAAUAAUGAAAAUAAUAAGUUUACGUGCUCAUCCAACGCACACGUAUGUACCUGUAGAUGCACACUUAGAUAUGUGAGCAAAAUAAUUAUGGGAGGCACCAAUUACGGUUGCACCCUGCGCGAUAAUCCGUCGGGAAACAUACCCUUACAUGUAGGUACAUACGUAUACCUCGACUUAUAUGUAGUCGCAUGUAUGUUUACAGAAAUAAUGUAAUAGAUGCGGCAUAGAUAUCGCUGCGUUAAUUAAAUUCUUGAUUAAACAAUCAAGACGAAAUUAUAAUCCUCUCUGUGAGAAUAUUUCCGUGAUAUUCACCCCCGAAAUUCUACUUUCGCUCGCUCGUCUCAUUCCUCGCUAACUCACGGGAAAUUAGAAAAUGGAAAAAAAGUAAUAAUUUCCCCUAUUUUUACAUCUGCGAUCGUCGUCGCAGCUCUCUAAUCUCCGGUGAGUGAGACACCCGUCCCAUCUCGCCUCACAGGUUUCUGUUUCGACACCGUCCUGUCGUCGUCAUCACCACCUGCAGGAAUUGAAAAACCUCGCGCGUUAUCACACAUUCGAAUAUCUACUCUUUAUAGCGCGGAUCUAGAGCCAAGAAUAAUGUUGUCAAUGGGAUUGUUAACCGCAGGUCAAACAAUUCAACAUCUUCGGAGCUAUCAUUAUUAUCAUACACGCUGCAGAAGAAUGUACGCAAUUCGAGUGCAUUGCGCGCUUUGUCUCAAACAAUUUUUAUCUAAGAAUGAAGGCGAAAGUACCAAAUUUCUUCGUAAAAAUUCUUAUUGUCUAUAAUUUUGAGAAAAGAAAAGAAUAAUCUAUGAAAUUAACCGUUACUUACUUAAAUUCGUUUUAUAACAAACCAUCGCAAAUCUUCCACAAUUUUCACAUCUGAAUAAUUUACUAAAAAGGAAUGAACGUUAGAACCCGAAUAGUCGUUCAAGGUACCCCCUAUGAAGUUUUUCGUAGGCUGUGACUUCAGGUAACCUUAGAGUUACAGAGGUCGUAAACUUUGGUGCGUCAGAGGGUUGGGAGAAUCAUC